GAAAACGGAAGUGAUGGCAUUAGUUCUCCCUUGCAUAGGACUAAUGUAGAACCAAUCGACGUUGCUGCUGAUACAAUUUUCCAACAGGGCAUAUCCCUUCCCGAUGAUGAAGAUUUCAUUGAUGACGAGUUAAAUGAAAAUGAUGAUUACCAAAGUGGUAGUAGUGAAGAUCUUGUGACAGAUAGUGGGAAUUCAUCUGAAAAUGCUGACGUGAGGCUACCCGUCAUGUAGAAGGACUACUGAGGCUACCUGUGAGGUUCGAAUAGCUACUGAAUGGUACAGAGAUGAUGGAUAUUAAAUCGAGCAAAGACCAACAAUGCAGAGUAUUCAAACCUCAUUAUUAUGGGACUGCAAUCCGAUGGGUGAUUUAAAUCUAAAAUGAUGUGGAUGCUAUUAGAAAAGGACCACAUUCAUGAAUUUGUUGUAAACUAAAUGCACUAGGUUUUGUAGACAUGCAGGCUGGUCCAAAAAAUACCUUUUGGAUGUAGUUGUUUUCUGGAAAUGUUUUAGUAGUUGUUGGACAGAUAUUGGACAUAUUAUGUACAAUGUUAUGUGAAAUUAUUGGCAAGAUUCUAAUUU